rfam:Stegodyphus mimosarum contig66390, whole genome shotgun sequence.
GCCUUCGUGGUGUAGUGGCUAGCACGCUCGGCGCGUAUUCGAGAGGUCUGAGGUUCGAGUCCCAGCGAGGGCA